rnacentral:ncRNA from 1 species
UCGAAUACGGACGUUAAACUCCUACAGAAAUCUGUCCCUAUCUACUAUCUAGCGAAACCACAGCCAAGGGAACGGGCUUAGAAAAUUUAGCGCGGAAAGAAGGCCCUGUUGUGCUUGACUCUAAUCUGGCAGUGUAAGGAGACAUAAGAGGUGUAGAAUAAGUGGGAGAUAUUGUUCUUUCGGGUUUAUUAUCACCAAUGAAAUACCAGUACUCUUAUUGUUUCCGUACUUGAUUAAGUGGAACGUGUAUCAUUACUUCGCCAUUAUAUGGAUAUUGAUCAAAGUACUAAAGAGUUUCUUAAAUAAUUGUAAACAAAUUUUAAUGAGAUUGUUUGGCAUUUCUAUGCUUAUUCAAUCAAUAUUUAGAAUUUGGUGUAACUCCCAAUACUCAGGUAUGAUCCAAUUCAAUAGCAUUGCCAGUUAGGGAGUUUGCCUGGGGGAAAGCUGUUCCAAAGCUAGCUCAGAAACCAAACAUAGAGCAAAACGGCAAGAGCUGACUUGAUCUCGUUGUUCGGUACACACAGGGACACCAAAAGCUCGGCCUAUGAUUUAAGGAGUUUUUAAGAGUUUUUACCGCAGAGAUAAGUGGCUUGUGACGGCCAAGCAUUCAUAGCGACGACGCUUUGUGAUCCCUUCAUGUCGGCUCUUCCUAUCAUUGUGAACCAAAAUUCCCCAAAUGUUGCAUCACAGAUGCAAGGGAACGUGAGCUGGGUUUAGACUGUCGUGAGACAAGUUAGUUUUACCCUACUAAUGGAAAUAUAUUGUUACUACAGCAAUCCUGUGUAGUAUGGAAGGAACCGCAGUUAUGGACCAAAGGCACAAUACUUACUCGAGCGAACAGUGGUAUGACGCCACGUCCGUUAGAUUAUGCCUGAACGCCUUUUAUAGUCUUGUCCUGCUUUUUUCCACGCGUCAUUGAGAGUGC